UUUUAUAAGAAUAUGAUGUUGGUUCAGAUUAAGCGCUAAAUAAGGACAUGACACAUGCGAAUCAUACGUUUAUUAUUGAUAAGAUAAUAAAUAUGUGGUGUAAACGUGAGUAAUUUUAUUAGGAAUUAAUGAACUAUAGAAUAAGCUAAAUACUUAAUAUAUUAUUAUAUAAAAAUAAUUUAUAUAAUAAAAAGGAUAUAUAUAUAAUAUAUAUUUAUCUAUAGUCAAGCCAAUAAUGGUUUAGGUAGUAGGUUUAUUAAGAGUUAAACCUAGCCAACGAUCCAUAAUCGAUAAUGAAAGUUAGAACGAUCACGUUGACUCUGAAAUAUAGUCAAUAUCUAUAAGAUACAGCAGUGAGGAAUAUUGGACAAUGAUCGAAAGAUUGAUCCAGUUACUUAUUAGGAUGAUAUAUAAAAAUAUUUUUAUUUUAUUUAGUUCCGGGGCCCGGCCACGGGAGCCGGAACCCCGAAAGGAGAAAUAUUAAAUAUUUAUAAUAAUAAUAAUAUAUAUAUAUAUAAAUUGAUUAAAAAUAAAAUCCAUAAAUAAUUAAAAUAAUGAUAUUAAUUACCAUAUAUAUUUUUAUAUGGAUAUAUAUAUUAAUAAUAAAAUUAAUUUAUUAUUAUUAAUAAUAUAUUUUAAUAGUCCUGACUAAUAUUUGUGCCAGCAGUCGCGGUAACACAAAGAGGGCGAGCGUUAAUCAUAAUGGUUUAAAGGAUCCGUAGAAUGAAUUAUAUAUUAUAAUUUAGAGUUAAUAAAAUAUAAUUAAAGAAUUAUAAUAGUAAAGAUGAAAUAAUAAUAAUAAUUAUAAGACUAAUAUAUGUGAAAAUAUUAAUUAAAUAUUAACUGACAUUGAGGGAUUAAAACUAGAGUAGCGAAACGGAUUCGAUACCCGUGUAGUUCUAGUAGUAAACUAUGAAUACAAUUAUUUAUAAUAUAUAUUAUAUAUAAAUAAUAAAUGAAAAUGAAAGUAUUCCACCUGAAGAGUACGUUAGCAAUAAUGAAACUCAAAACAAUAGACGGUUACAGACUUAAGCAGUGGAGCAUGUUAUUUAAUUCGAUAAUCCACGACUAACCUUACCAUAUUUUGAAUAUUAUAAUAAUUAUUAUAAUUAUUAUAUUACAGGCGUUACAUUGUUGUCUUUAGUUCGUGCUGCAAAGUUUUAGAUUAAGUUCAUAAACGAACAAAACUCCAUAUAUAUAAUUUUAAUUAUAUAUAAUUUUAUAUUAUUUAUUAAUAUAAAGAAAGGAAUUAAGACAAAUCAUAAUGAUCCUUAUAAUAUGGGUAAUAGACGUGCUAUAAUAAAAUGAUAAUAAAAUUAUAUAAAAUAUAUUUAAUUAUAUUUAAUUAAUAAUAUAAAACAUUUUAAUUUUUAAUAUAUUUUUUUAUUAUAUAUUAAUAUGAAUUAUAAUCUGAAAUUCGAUUAUAUGAAAAAAGAAUUGCUAGUAAUACGUAAAUUAGUAUGUUACGGUGAAUAUUCUAACUGUUUCGCACUAAUCACUCAUCACGCGUUGAAACAUAUUAUUAUCUUAUUAUUUAUAUAAUAUUUUUUAAUAAAUAUUAAUAAUUAUUAAUUUAUAUUUAUUUAUAUCAGAAAUAAUAUGAAUUAAUGCGAAGUUGAAAUACAGUUACCGUAGGGGAACCUGCGGUGGGCUUAUAAAUAUC
rnacentral:ncRNA from 1 species